rnacentral:rRNA from 1 species
UACGUAGGUGGCAAGCGUUAUCCGGAUUUACUGGGUGUAAAGGGCGUGUAGGCGGGAUGGUAAGUCAGAUGUGAAAACUAUGGGCUCAACCGGUAUAGGCUCUGGAAACUGGCGGGCUAGAGAGCAGGAGAGGGCGGUGGAACUCCAUGUGUAGCGGUAAAAUGCGUAGAUAUAUGGAAGAACACCAGUGGCGAAGGCGGCCGCCUGGCCUGUUACUGACGCUGAGGCACGAAAGCGUGGGGAGCAAAUAGG